GAGUAAGACCAAGCGGCGGACGGGUGAGUAACGCGUGGGUAACCUGCCCUAUACACAUGGAUAACAUACUGAAAAGUUUACUAAUACAUGAUAAUAUAUAUUUACGGCAUCGUAGAUAUAUCAAAGUGUUAGCGGUAUAGGAUGGACCCGCGUCUGAUUAGCUAGUUGGUGAGAUAACUGCCCACCAAGGCGACGAUCAGUAGCCGACCUGAGAGGGUGAUCGGCCACAUUGGAACUGAGACACGGUCCAAACUCCUACGGGAGGCAGCAGUGGGGAAUAUUGCACAAUGGGCGCAAGCCUGAUGCAGCAACGCCGCGUGAACGAUGAAGGUCUUCGGAUCGUAAAGUUCUGUUGCAGGGGAAGAUAAUGACGGUACCCUGUGAGGAAGCCCCGGCUAACUACGUGCCAGCAGCCGCGGUAAUACGUAGGGGGCUAGCGUUAUCCGGAUUUACUGGGCGUAAAGGGUGCGUAGGUGGUCUUUCAAGUCGGUGGUUAAAGGCUACGGCUCAACCGUAGUUAGCCUCCGAAACUGGAAGACUUGAGUGCAGGAGAGGAAAGUGGAAUUCCCAGUGUAGCGGUGAAAUGCGUAGAUAUUGGGAGGAACACCAGUAGCGAAGGCGGCUUUCUGGACUGCAACUGACACCGAGGCACGAAAGCGUGGGUAGCAAACAGGAUUAGAUACCCUGGCAGUCCACGCUGUAAACGAUGAGUACUAGGUGUCGGGGGUUACCCCCCUCGGUGCCGCAGCUAACGCAUUAAGUACUCCGCCUGGGGAGUACGCACGCAAGUGUGAAACUCAAAGGAAUUGACGGGGACCCGCACAAGUAGCGGAGCAUGUGGUUUAAUUCGAAGCAACGCGAAGAACCUUACCUAAGCUUGACAUCCCUUAGACCGGUGUUUAAUCACACCUUCCCUUCGGGGCUGAGGUGACAGGUGGUGCAUGGUUGUCGUCAGCUCGUGUCGUGAGAUGUUGGGUUAAGUCCCGCAACGAGCGCAACCCUUGUCUUUAGUUGCCAGCAUUCAGUUGGGCACUCUAGAGAGACUGCCAGGGAUAACCUGGAGGAAGGUGGGGAUGACGUCAAAUCAUCAUGCCCCUUAUGCUUAGGGCUACACACGUGCUACAAUGGGUGGUACAGAGGGUUGCCAAACCGUGAGGUGGAGCUAAUCCCUUAAAGCCAUUCUCAGUUCGGAUUGUAGGCUGAAACUCGCCUACAUGAAGCUGGAGUUACUAGUAAUCGCAGAUCAGAAUGCUGCGGUGAAUGCGUUCCCGGGUCU
rnacentral:rRNA from 1 species